CUUCUACGCCUGACUUAAAGGGCAACAAUCCUAGGAGACCACCAGCACUUACAUCCCUGGUGGGACAUGACACCUGCUUAUGGCCCAGAAGUGACAAAAGAGAAUUAUCAGGAUGGCAGUCCUUAUAACCAGAUGCUUAUGAACAUUCUUCACUACAUUCUGAAGAUGAAUUUCUACAAGGGAAAUUGUUUAUGGAGGCAGCAGAUUGCUGAAAUUCUGAAGCAAUGUGGCUGGUUAAUGCACGAUCUGAAAACCCCUGCACUGGUGAUUUUGGGACAGAUCUAGAAUAUACCAAUAAAUAUAUUAACAUACCAAGUAGUCCAGGAGCAGCCACUGGGCAAACACCAAACCUUGCAUCCCCGGUGCUGUCUCUGAGCUCAACAGACACGUCUUUGCAGAAGAGUUCUAUAAUGGUGGUACAAUGGCGCCCCCCUCAUGACAGA
rnacentral:lncRNA from 1 species